rnacentral:rRNA from 1 species
GAUGAACGCUGGCGGCGUGCUUAACACAUGCAAGUCGAACGAAGCACUUUAUUUGAUUUCCUUCGGGACUGAUUAUUUUGUGACUGAGUGGCGGACGGGUGAGUAACGCGUGGGUAACCUGCCUUGUACAGGGGGAUAACAGUUGGAAACGGCUGCUAAUACCGCAUAAGCGCACGGCAUCGCAUGAUGCAGUGUGAAAAACUCCGGUGGUAUAAGAUGGACCCGCGUUGGAUUAGCUAGUUGGUGAGGUAACGGCCCACCAAGGCUACGAUCCAUAGCCGACCUGAGAGGGUGACCGGCCACAUUGGGACUGAGACACGGCCCAAACUCCUACGGGAGGCAGCAGUGGGGAAUAUUGCACAAUGGGCGAAAGCCUGAUGCAGCGACGCCGCGUGAGCGAAGAAGUAUUUCGGUAUGUAAAGCUCUAUCAGCAGGGAAGAUAAUGACGGUACCUGACUAAGAAGCACCGGCUAAAUACGUG